CUGCCCUGUUCAGUGUGGCCAUUCUCCAGCACUGAAGACUCCGGCCCCCAGGUGGCUGAAGCCUGCGAUGUUCUGUGUGGCCAUUCUCCAGCACUGAAGACUCCGGCCCCCAGGUGGCUGAAGCCUGCGAUGUUCUGUGUGGCCAUUCUCCAGCACUGUAAAAAGGUGUAAAGGCUGAAAGGAACAAAGUAAGCGUAUUGCAGUGUCUUACCGUUAAAAUGAGCUACUGCAGCAGUUUCAUGGUACCGGUCUUCAGUUCUGUUCCAGUGAUGUGCCCUCCAGUUGGCCCAUGACGCAGUUUCAACGUGUAGGUGAUGUUCCGCACUCACGGCUAAGGGGGAAAACCUUUGUGCAAGCAGGUAAAUGUGUAGUUUCACAUGCAACGGUUCCUGAAAUACUGCCGCGCACAUACACGCACGCACGCACACACACUCUUGAAGCCACAAACCAAAACUAAGCUCAAGCACUUGACAGUGUUUUUUUGAUUUUCGUCAGAUGUGUUGACAGCCACACAACACACAACUGAGCACAAAGGUGGAAAUCUAAAACCAGUUGAUUCAUCAUCAUCCAUGAGAUCUAGAAAAAAAUAUACUCAAAGGUAAAAUAGGUCCACAAAACUGACAUUAAGAGUUUUUCCAUUCACUCUCAUCUCACUUUUUAAAAGGCAUGCAAAUAAGUAAUGUGUGGGGAGAACCUGAUGGAAAGAUAAUGAUUAGCGGUAUAGCAUAAAUUCAGCAAUAAUUCUUAGAAAACAUGAAUAAUUAAUUUUCAGAUUGGAAAAAAGCAAGCAGCCCUUUUCCUUACACCCAGGGACAUGUGUUUUGUCUUUAGCAAGUGAAAUGCAUGCUCGAUCAGGUUGAUCAGGUGACUGACUCGGCCGUUGCAGAAUUUUUCACUUCUUUGCCUUAAAAAACUCAUGGGUUGCUUUGGCAGUAUGUUUCAGAUCAUUGUCCAACUGUAAAGUGAAGUACCGUCCAAUCAAAUUUGCUGAAUUUGUCUGAAUCUGAUCAGACAAUAUAUCCCUAUACACUUCAGAAUUC
ensembl:lncRNA